CCCCCCCCCCGCCAAUCUCCACCGCGGCGGGCUGCCAUUCCUCCGACUAUGGCGCCGCCGUGCCAGCACCUCCUGCAUCUGUGAGCAGCCUAGCUCCCCUUCCCCGCCGCAAAUCUCCACCGCAGCGGGGCUUAAUCUAUUGCCCCACUCCGUUGCAACUUAGUCGUACGAGCUGACAGCCUCUCGUACCCUGUUGCAUCAGGGCAAGGAGAAGGGAUCAGGGGCGCCACCGUCGGCAAUGUUGUACAUGCGUCGGGUUCAGUAAUUUCAGCAACGUCGCCGGUAGCUUCUCGUCUAACACAUAGCCGAGUGGCUAGCUGAACUGGAGUAUCCAAACGCCGCACUCUUCAGUAUGAGGAGGGCGAUGGAUCGAGGUUGGAUGAGUCAACCAAGAACUAGUGUUGCUUACAAAGAUGGUGUCGGGCAAUUUCUGUCUUUUGCAUUCCAUGAUGUUCCAGCUGGUGAUAGAAUUAUCUGUCCUUGUGUAAAUUGCCGAAAUAAAGCUAGAGGAUGAGUUUGGGUUCAUUCUUGUGAACAAGUCUCGGGAAAUACACACAGGAGAUCAGUUAGAGGAUGAUCCUUUUGUAUUUUCUUCCCAAGUGCAGCAGGUUUUCUAUGUUCAAGAUCCAAAAGCUGAAUUAUGGAAUGUAGUAGUGAAAGUCAGGCCUCGUGACCUUUUUGACAUGGGUGAUGAAGAAUCAUCAGAUGAAACAGAUUAGAGCAUUGUGCUUUUGGUUCUUCGCAGGCGGCCAGCAGGAAAUUCAGCAUUCAGAACAAUUCAGGCUGAACUAUUGGUGGAAGCUCUUUGCUGGUGUGGUUCUUUGCAUGCAGAUGCAAUUUUAGUUAUGGUUUUAGUAGUAGUUUAGGAGCACACUGUCAGAAUGAUUUAUAAAGUUUAUGGUUGCUGUCUUUUUUUCGUACUACUUCAGGGCACAACCCAAGUGUACUUGGUUGUGAAUUGUGCAAGACACUAGACAAGGUUACAUUAUUUUUUAUGCUUUGCAUGUUGUUUCCAAGAAUCUAGUGGAAGUUAGGAAUGGCUGUUUCCAAGAAUCUA